ensembl:lncRNA
AUAUAUCUGAUCUUAUAUAUAUCUUAUAUAUAUAUUCUGAUCUUAUAUAUAUAACACUAACUUCUUAUUAGGCUACUGAAAUCACACCACAAACAAUUAUUUUUCUAUGGGGACGUUCUCCUGCAGAUUUUUCACCGAAUCACAGAAAUACUGCCAUGCAUAUUUCAUUCUCAUCGUGAUUAAAAAUCAUCUCUCACUCUGUCAUUCCUAGCUCGGCAGUUGAGCACCAGUGGAGCCAUGAGAAACCAGCCUUCUCAGUAGAGGAUUAUGUAGAAGACUGUAGUAUAGCUCCACAUGGACAGUGAUAUUAGCACCUUGCCAUAUUGUCCUGGUUUUGGCUGGGAUAGAGUUAAUUUUCUUCAGAGCAUCUGACACAGUGAUGUGUUUGGGAUUCAGGAUGAAAAUGACAUUGAUAAAACACCAACAUUUUUAGUUACCAAGCAGUGCUGCACCAAAUCAAGGACGGUUCUGCUUCUGACACUGUUCUGCUAUUGAGGAGGCCAGGGGGCACAGGGAACUGGGACAGAACCAAACCAGGAGCUGACCUAAGCUGGCUAAAGCGAUAUUCCAUACCAAGGGUGUCAUGCUCAGCAAUAAAAGCUGGAGGAUCUGGCCACUCACUCUGUAUGCAGUGGAGUGCUGGUCAGCUGCUGCUGAGCAAUUGCCUUCUUCACCUUUCUUUUUUCUUUUUAAUUUUGUCUUAUUUCUUUCACAUUAAACUGUCCUUUUCUCAUCCCAGAAAUUCUCACACGUUUAUCUUUGUCAAUUCUCUUUUCCACCCUGCCGAGGGGGACUGAGCGGGCAGCCACAUGGUACUUAGCUGCCUGCUGGGUUAAACAACAGCACGCACCUCAGGAAUAUCUCAUCUGGUUUACAGGGCAAACCAAUUCAUGAGUUAUUAACCUGCAAAUAACUACAAAGAAGAAGAAAUGUUGCUGGAGUCCUGCACAGGUAACCAUUGCCCUCAAAGUCCACUCAGUAGCAACACUAGCUGAGUUCCGGACAGAACAGAUCCAGCGAAGUUUCUAUAGCUGUAACUGUCCAGACAGUUCCCUUUCACUCUGCUGCUGUAAGAGUUCAAUUUCUUUCAGGUGAGCUUGUCACAACUUCUGCUGUCCAUUCUGAGUGGUUGCCAAAAAAUCUGUGCAUCAAGUCACAUGAAAACUGGAGCUGAUCAUGCACAACACAGCUGCUUCUGUGCCAUUAAAGACCAAACACUACAGAGCAAACAAACCCUACUGCUCCAUGAGUUACACAAUAGAAGGUCUACACCUAAAAAAACUAUCAAUUGAGAGCAGAAACAAAAGAAAUCUAAACUCUGACUCUCCAUAAGUGUGUAAAUUCAGGCUUGUUUUAUGAAGCUUAUGUGAAACAGUCAUUUGAUUAAAGCAGCAUAUACUGGAGAACCUAUAAAACCUACUGAGGCAAGAGGGGUUAAAAAUGGCUGCCACAUGAGAAAUGAAUCAGUCAUAUUUUUAAUUUAGCUUAAAAGUAUCUGUACUAUUACUUCUGCUUGUUUCAUGUGCCACUGAACAAGUACGGUGAUCGGAUAUUGUACAUUCAGUAUUGCAAAAAAGGCCUUUUGCUCCUUCUCUUUCUGUAAAAGAGCAUUAUUUCAAUUUAAAAAACAAAAUGUUGCC